rnacentral:lncRNA from 1 species
CAAAAUACCGGUUUUCGGCAUUUAGGCUUUUCAACUUUUGCCGAUCUAGACUAAGAAAGAGGGUGUUAGUUACACAUCUGUUUGCGACGAUAUGCUGACGAGAUCCACACACGAACCGCCUACAAUUGAAUUACUAACACGUUAAUCUAACUAUUCAAAUACAAACUACGUAUUAACCCCUUAGAAUAUUCGGCCAACCACACCUACAGAUCAUAGUAAGCUUAUAAGAAAACAAUAAGCAACUCAUUAACAAAUUUUUGUCAAUGUUUACCACAUAACCAUAAUUUCACUGCAAGCUGUCUUCCUGAGCAACAAUCACUAAAUCAUUUAUAAUUGGAGCUAAGAAACUCCAAAUCAAGUUCCGUUAAUUUUCCUUGAAAAUAGACUCAUAUAUCUUCUAUCCAUAAAAUUUUCAGAAUUUUUUAUUUAGCCAAUCAAUACCAGAUUUUUCUCAAAGUUUCCCAUGUUUCACUGUUUGACUAAUCUGACCACUCUUCAUUACGAAUCAAAUUUCUCAUUUUACAGAAUUCAAAAUAUGUUCUUGUUUAUUUCAUUAGAAACUAGACUCAAUAAGCUUUAAUUACAUAAUUUAUUAAGAUUCUAAUUCAUCUCCCACAAUUUAUGGUGAUUUUCCAAAGUCACGUUACUGCUGUUGUCCCAAGCAGAUUUAUAACCAAAUCACUCUUUCAUACACCUAUCUCGCAUGCAUGUUAUUUAAACAUGUAUAUCACCAAUCAAUCAUCACAUAUCUAUGAUUUUUACUUAAGCAUAAUCUCCAUUUCAUCAUUUUAAAGCACAACAUGUUAGCCGAUUUUUCCCUUUAGCAUCUAAGGCACAUGCAUGCUCAUUUUUUUGGCUCAACUUCACAUAUCUUCCAUUUUUCAUCAAAAGAACAUGAAACAACAACCAUUUCCUUCAUUUUAAUUCAUGACUAAAUGCUCACAACACAACUAAAAAUCAAAAUAUACUUCAAGAGUUAAGGUAGAAUCAAGAAGAACUCAUGAACCUCAAAAUAGAAGCAAGGUACUAAGAACUUACCUUCAAUUUUCCUCCUCCUAAUGACCGAAUACUCAAGAGCUUUCUCCUCUCCUUUCUCUUCUCUAACUUUCAGCUAUGAUGAACAAAGAUGGACAAAACUUUGUUCUUUUCACCCCUUUUUCUUUUAAUAAAACUUCACAUUUCAUCCAUUUAACUCUUUAAUACAAAAGACAUGAAAUUCUUAUCAUGAAACAUUUACCUAACCCAUUAUCAUGAAACAUUUACCUAAUCCAUUAUCAUGGAACAUUUACCUAACCUAUUAUCAUGGAAUAUUUACCUAACCUAUUAUCAAUUUGUAUCAAUUUGUACCAUAAAUUAUGGAUAUCAAGUGCACAUUUUGUCUACAACAACAUGAUGGUUGGCUACUUCAUGUAAAAUGGGAGGUUUGUCAUGCAAAUCCUCCUAUUUUGCACUCCUAUUUAUUUGGCCACUUCAAUUUAGCUUAUAGCAUUUUCAAACAUUUUCACAUAGGUCCUAUUUCAUAAUUUCACUCCCUUUUUCUUAUGGAACAAAAAUUAACUAAAAUUACCGGGUUCUAUCUUAAGCUUGGGCCUUCUAGAGGCCCACUAACAUAAUUAAACCUAUGCCAACAUUCACAGGAUUCCCGAAAAUUGGGGCAUUACAACUCUACCCUCCUUAAAGAAAUUUCGUCCUCGAAAUUUACCUAAUCCAAACAGAUGAGGGUAUUGUUGUUGCAUCGUCUCUUCUGGCUCCCAAACUCAGAAGUUUCCCCUUCCUUAACUUGUUAAAAACAAGCGACCAAAGACUCAUCGUUCAACUGUUUUUCCUUAAUCUGAUCAGUCCAAAUAGGCCUCACUUGCAAUUCUGCUAACAGUCUUCCAUCAUCAAAUAGACUCAAACGUGCAAACAAGGCUCUCAAAUCAGAAACAACCCUUCGACUCAACGCAUCAGCCACCACAUUAGCCUUACCUGAGUGGUACUCAAUCGAACAGUCGUAAUCCUUAAGCAACUCUACCCAUCUUCGUUGCCUAAGGUUUAAUUCCUUCUGAGUUAACAGAUACUUUAGGCUCUUAUGGUCCGUGUAUAUGAUACACUUUUCUCCAUAUAAGUAAUGUCUCCAGAUUUUCAACGCGAAGAUCACUACUGCUAGCUCUAAGUCAUGCGUAGGGGAGUUCGCUUCAUGAGACUUAAGCUGCCGCAAAGCAUAAGCGACCACCUUACCCUCUUGCAUCAGUACACAUCCUAACCCCACAUGUGACGCAUCGCUAUACACAGUGAAGCCCUUCCCAGACUCCGGUUGAAUCAACACUGAUUCUUCAGUCAAUACAUUUUUCAAAUGGUCAAAAGCUUUUUGCUGACUCUCAGUCCAGACAAAUGCUACCCCUUUUUUUAACAGUUUCGUCAAUGGUGCAGCAAUCAUAGAAAAUCCUUCUACGAACCUUCGGUAAUAGCCUGCCAAACCCAAAAAACUUCGAAUUUUCGAUACUGAUUUUGGUGGCUUCCAUCCCAGAACUGCCUCAACUUUUCGAGGAUCCACUCUAAUUCCUUCAGCAGAAACCACAUGACCUAGAAAAGCCACUUCUCGCAACCAAAAUUCACACUUACUAAACUUUGCAUACAAUUCCUUCUCUCUCAGCACUUGCAGCACAAUACGUAGAUGCUCCUCAUGUUUCUCCUCGGUUACCGAGUAUACCAGAAUAUCAUCGAUGAAAACAACCACGAAUCGGUCCAAGUAAGGUUGGAACACUCGAUUCAUUAGAUCCAUGAAAGCGGCAGGUGCGUUCGUCAACCCAAACGGCAUAACCAGGAACUCGUAAUGACCAUAUCGAGUCCUGAAUGCUGUCUUAUGAAUAUCCACUUCCUUUACCCUUAACUGAUGGUAUCCAGAUCGAAGGUCAAUCUUGGAAAAUACCGAAGCUCUUCUAAGCUGAUCGACCAGAUCAUCAAUCCUUGGUAGUGGAUACUUAUUCUUAAUCGUCAGUUUGUUCAACUGGCGAUAAUCAAUACACAUCCGCAUCGUACCAUCCUUCUUUUUCACGAAUAGCACCAGUGCUCCCCAUGGAGAUACGCUUGGCCUAAUGAAGCCCCUAUCCAACAACUCUUGAAUUUGUGCAUUUAGCUCCACCAACUCCUUCAGUGCCAUUCUAUACGGUGCGAUAGACACUAGUGCCGUUCCAGGCAAUAAGUCGAUUCCAAACUCCACUUCUCGGUUCGGAGGCAAUCUUGGAAGCUCCUCCGGAAAAUAUCUUGGAACUCCUUUACAGUCCUAACCUUAUCCCCUGACAAUCCCUCCUCUUCUGACUGACUUACAAAUGCCAAAUAGGCCUCACAACCUUUCCGAAUCCACUUUUCGGCUCUUAAUGCCGACACCACAUUGGACAAAUAAUCUCUUCGCUCACCUAUCACCAUAACCUUUUCAUCCUUUGUGGUCUUUAACACCAUUCGUUUAUCAGCACAAUCCAGGGUCGCUUUAUGCUUAACAAGCCAGUCCAUUCCCAAAAUGAGAUCAAACUCUCCGAACGGUAACUCCAUCAGAUCUCCAGGGAAAAUCCUACCUUGAGUUUCUAAGGGUACAUCCCUAUACAGUUUGUCUACCCUAACCGAGUGACCCAAAGGACUUACUACAGAUACCCUACUCACAAUCUCCUCAGAGCAGUCCAAGUUGUCCAUAAUCCGUUCUGUGGUCUCCAACCAAUAUUCCGUCACAUUCGGGGCUAUACCAGACACGCCCCUAAAGAUCUCCGCUCCGUUAGCCCGAAGUCGUUCAGAAAUAGAUCCUCGAAUUUCGUUGCCCUAACUUGUCCCGGCAACCCUUUCCAGAACACGAAGCAUUGCCUGUGACAGGGCAUCAUCCUCGGCACCGCGGUCAUGAGACUCUACCUCUGUUGCCGGUGGUACCGGUGCAUCCACCGCCGGCAUAUGUCUCGAAGACGAAGAUCUCGCUCGAGCACUUCCUCGGCUCCCUCCACGGCCUCUUGUACUCAUAUCGUAUUAUCUUGAUUACGAAUUUUUAUGCAUCAAUUAAUAUUCCAGUGUUUAUUACAGAUGUUUUAUGAACCAGACAGUAGUUCAGAGUUUGUUUUUGCAGAAUCAAAGUCUAGCUAUAGUUUCAGUCUCUUGUCAGAUUUUCCUAUGGUUUCAGUAUCAUCCUAUCCAGAGUAUCCUAGCAGGAUUUCAGUACAGACAGAUAAGUCAGAAAAAUAUUUAGAAGAGUUCAGAGUAAUACUUACAGGCUUGGGCCGGAGAUUCGGAAUGCCACCUUCUAAAGAUCUAAAUUUUAAAAAUCGCAUUUUUCGCAAAAAAAAUUUGUUUUUGAAAAUCUUUGUUUUUUUGUAAACCCAUUCCACAGUCGAGUUGUUGCAACCUGGCUCUGAUACCACUAAAUGUAGCACCCCAAACCCGGCCCAAAAGUUAUGGCCGGAUCCGGCAUGCCACAUCAAAAAUGUUAAAAAAAAAAUUUCCAUUCUAAGUCCAGAAAAUCGUACUUGAUGUUCAAAAGAUUAAUUCAUUAAGGGUUAAAGUGAAUGGAAGCUGUGCACCAGGUAGGAAACCGAAAAAGAGGUGGUGAGUCCAUCGGACUGCUUAAGUACCAAGCUCCCUUCGGAUCCAAUCCUAGACAUGCAUACCGCCAUUGCCACACAUUAAUGUCAUGGAUAUUUCUAGGAAACCGAUUCGAUUAAGUCAUUUUUAGGAAAAGUGAUUAAUUUUGGAAAAUACUUUCAUUGCGGAAGCUUUGCUUGUUGUUGUGUUAUUUUGAAAUCAACUGUUGUUUUUGAAAACGCGCCCUAAAGCUAUCCAAUUUCAACAGUUAAAAUAAGUAUUACCUAUAUUAGUAAUACAUAUUAAAAACCAUCAAAAAUAAAUAAGCGGCCUUAUUACAUUUAAAAGCCCAAAACCUCAAACGUAAUUAAAAGGAUGUCCAAUUCACCAGAAGAAAAUCAAACUUUCAGAACGGGUGGCCACUCCGAAUUCCCUCACAGCUCCAAACCCACUAUGGUUGGGGAUUUCCUGCGUGGAUGAAAAUAAAAGGGGUGAGUUUGGGGAAACUCAGUGUGUAAGGAAAACCCAUUCAAAGCCCAAGUCAGCUCAAGCCCAUUGGGCCUAAGCCCAUUCAGGUAACAGUGAUACUGGGCCGGAGCCCUUUUCAGAUUACAAUAAACUGGGCCUUAGCCCCUUAUUCAGAUAACAGUAUGGCCCAUAGGCCCAUUUCAAAAUACAUGCAACAUCAAUAAACAUAUGCAAGCCCAUUUGGGGAGACUACUCAACCCACCAACCACUACACUCCACCCGUACCAGCCAUACACUCCAUGUGGGGAAUAGCUCAACCCACCCAGCCCAACACUCCACAGUUGCAGCCUUGCUGCUCAGUUAACAGUAAAUUGAGGCAAAGCCUCCAGUACGUGGACAAGCCACUUUCAGUACUUCCUCCGUCAAUAUCCCAGUCCCAUGCAUCAGAUAAUAACAACAUGGCAUGCAGUAAAUAACAACAGUCAAAUAUGCAUUUAGGUCAAUUUAACCCUAGGGGUAUUUCGGUAAUUUAUCUCUUAGGGGUAAAACUAUAAAUUUUCCACUUUUAAAGGUAUUUCAGUAAUUUAUCUAUUUUAGGGUUUUUCAUGCAUAUUCCUAAUUUUCACGUACUAACAGAAUCACGUACUGAGGGUUCUUACCGAAUUGGGCCCGUUGGCCCAUCAUUCCAAUUUUGGCCCAUUAAGCCCAAAAAUAUCGAGGGCACAGAAAUCAUGCACUUUGCAGUCCAAACAUUGCAGCUUACCAAAAACAUUAAUCGAUUUACCUCACGAGCAUCCGCACACUCGCAAAUCUACAAAAUACCAGUUUUUGGCAUUUCGGCUUUUCGACUUUUGCCGAUCUAGACUAAGAAAGAGGGUGUUAGUUACACAUCUGUUUGCGACGAUAUGCUGACGAGAUCCACACACGAACCGCCUACAAUUGAAUUACUAACACGUUAAUCUAACUAUUCAAAUACAAACUACGUAUUAACCCCUUAGAAUAUUCGGCCAACCACACCUACAGAUCAUAGUAAGCUUAUAAGAAAACAAUAAGCAACUCAUUAACAAAUUUUUGUCAAUGUUUACCACAUAAUCAUAAUUUCACUGCUAGCUGUCUUCCUGAGCAAUAGUCACUAAAUCAUUUAUAAUUGGAGCUAAGAUACUCCAAAUCAAGUUCCGUUAAUUUUCCUUGAAAAUAGACUCAUAUAUCUUCUAUCCAUAAAAUUUUCAGAAUUUUUUAUUUAGCCAAUCAAUACCAGAUUUUUCUCAAAGUUUCCCAUGUUUCACUGUUUGACUAAUCUGACCACUCUUCAUUACGAAUCAAAUUUCUCAUUUUAAAGAAUUCAAAAUAUGUUCUUGUUUAUUUCAUUAGAAACUAGACUCAAUAAGCUUUAAUUACAUAAUUUAUUAAGCUUCUAAUUCAUCUCCCACAAUUUAUGGUGAUUUUCCAAAGUCACGUUACUGCUGUUGUCCCAAGCAGAUUUAUAACCAAAUCACUCUUUCAUACACCUAUCUCGCAUGCAUGUUAUUUAAACAUGUAUAUCACCAAUCAAUCAUCACAUAUCUAUGAUUUUUACUUAAGCAUAAUAUCCAUUUCAUCAUUUUAAAGCACAACAUGUUAGCCGAUUUUUCCCUUUAGCAUCUAAGGCACAUGCAUGCUCAUUUGUUUGGCUCAACUUCACAUAUCUUCCAUUUUUCAUCAAAAGAACAUGAAACAACAACCAUUUCCUUCAUUUUAAUUUCAUGACUAAAUGCUCACAACACAACUAAAAAUCAAAAUAUACUUCAAGAGUUAAGGUAGAAUCAAGAAGAACUCAUGAACCUCAAAAUAGAAGCAAGGUACCAAGAACUUACCUUCAAUUUUCCUCCUCCUAAUGACCGAAUGCUCAAGAGCUUUCUCCUCUCCUUUCUCUUCUCUAACUUUCAGCUAUGAUGAACAAAGAUGGACAAAACUUUGUUCUUUUCACCCCUUUUUCUUUUAAUAAAACUUCAUAUUUCA